rnacentral:rRNA from 1 species
AGUGAACGCUGGUGGUAGGCCUAACACAUGCAAGUCGAACGGCAGCACAGUAAGAGCUUGCUCUUACGGGUGGCGAGUGGCGGACGGGUGAGGAAUACAUCGGAAUCUACUUUUUCGUGGGGGAUAACGUAGGGAAACUUACGCUAAUACCGCAUACGACCUACGGGUGAAAGCAGGGGAUCUUCGGACCUUGCGCGAUUGAAUGAGCUGAUGUCGGAUUAGCUAGUUGGCGGGGUAAAGGCCCACCAAGGCGACGAUCCGUAGCUGGUCUGAGAGGAUGAUCAGCCACACUGGAACUGAGACACGGUCCAGACUCCUACGGGAGGCAGCAGUGGGGAAUAUUGGACAAUGGGCGCAAGCCUGAUCCAGCCAUACCGCGUGGGUGAAGAAGGCCUUCGGGUUGUAAAGCCCUUUUGUUGGGAAAGAAAAGCAGCAGGUUAAUACCCCGCUGUUCUGACGGUACCCAAAGAAUAAGCACCGGCUAACUUCGUG